rnacentral:rRNA from 1 species
GUGAGGAAUAUUGGGCAAUGGGGGAAACCCUGACCCAGCGACGCCGCGUGAGGGAAGAAGGUCUUCGGAUUGUAAACCUCUGUCUUCGGGGACGAUAAUGACGGUACCCGGGGAGGAAGCCACGGCUAACUACGUGCCAGCAGCCGCGGUAAAACGUAGGUGGCAAGCGUUGUCCGGAAUUACUGGGUGUAAAGGGAGCGCAGGUGGGGCUGUAAGUCGAAUGUGAAAUCUAUGGGCUCAACUCAUAAAUUGCGUUCGAUACUAUAGUUCUUGAGUGGAGUAGAGGCAGGCGGAAUUCCCGGUGUAGCGGUGGAAUGCGUAGAUAUCCGGAGGAACACCGGUGGCGAAGGCGGCCACCUGGACAGGUACUGACGCUGAGGCGCGAAAGCGUGGGGAGCAAACAGGAUUAGAUACCCGGGUAGUCC